rnacentral:rRNA from 14 species
CCAAGGGUUCCGGAGUUCACGGAUUAAAGCGGCACGCGAGCUGGGUUCAGAACGGCGUGAGCCAGUUCGGUCCCUAUCCACUGCGCACGUAGGAAAUUUGAGAGGAGUCGCUCUUAGUACGAGAGGACCGGAGUGAACAGACCUCUGGUGUACCAAUUGUUCCGCCAGGAGCAUAAGUUGGGUAGCCACGUCUGGCAGGGAUAAGCGCUGAAAGCAUCUAAGCGCCAAGCCCCCCUCGAGAUUAGAUUUCCCUUCGAAAGAGUAAGACCCCCGGAAGACUACCGGUUUGAUAGGUCGCAGGUGUGAGUGCAGCAAUGCAUUAAGCUGAGCGAUACUAAUUGGUCGA